AGUGAACGCUGGCGGUAGGCCUAACACAUGCAAGUCGAACGGCAGCACAGUAAGAGCUUGCUCUUACGGGUGGCGAGUGGCGGACGGGUGAGGAAUACAUCGGAAUCUACUUUUUCGUGGGGGAUAACGUAGGGAGACUUACGCUAAUACCGCAUACGACCUACGGGUGAAAGCAGGGGAUCUUCGGACCUUGCGCGAUUGAAUGAGCCGAUGUCGGACUAGCUAGUUGGCGGGGUAAAGGCCCACCAAGGCGACGAUCCGUAGCUGGUCUGAGAGGAUGAUCAGCCACACUGGAACUGAGACACGGCCCAGACUCCUACGGGAGGCAGCAGUGGGGAAUAUUGGACAAUGGGCGCAAGCCUGAUCCAGCCAUACCGCGUGGGUGAAGAAGGCCUUCGGGUUGUAAAGCCCUUUUGUUGGGAAAGAAAAGCAGCAGGUUAAUACCCCGCUGUUCUGACGGUACCCAAAGAAUAAGCACCGGCUAACUUCGUG
rnacentral:rRNA from 1 species